AUUGAACGCUGGCGGCAGGCUUAACACAUGCAAGUCGAGCGGGGUGAUGGUGCUUGCACUAUCACUUAGCGGCGGACGGGUGAGUAAUGCUUAGGAAUCUGCCUAUUAGUGGGGGACAACAUCUCGAAAGGGAUGCUAAUACCGCAUACGUCCUACGGGAGAAAGCAGGGGAUCACUUGUGACCUUGCGCUAAUAGAUGAGCCUAAGUCGGAUUAGCUAGUUGGUGGGGUAAAGGCCUACCAAGGCGACGAUCUGUAGCGGGUCUGAGAGGAUGAUCAGCCACACUGGGACUGGGACACGGCCCAGACUCCUACGGGAGGCAGCAGUGGGGAAUAUUGGACAAUGGGGGGAACCCUGAUCCAGCCAUGCCGCGUGUGUGAAGAAGGCCUUAUGGUUGUAAAGCACUUUAAGCGAGGAGGAGGCUCUUGUGGUUAAUACCCAAGAUGAGUGGACGUUACUCGCAGAAUAAGCACCGGCUAACUACGUGCCAGCCGCCGCUGUAA
rnacentral:rRNA from 1 species